GGUUGUGGCUCAGUGGUAGAGCACUUGCCUAGCAUAUGUGAGGCCCUGGGUUUGACUCUCAACACCA
rnacentral:tRNA from 1 species